rnacentral:rRNA from 1 species
AGAGUUUGAUCCUGGCUCAGAACGAACGCUGGCGGCAGGCCUAACACAUGCAAGUCGAACGCCCCGCAAGGGGAGUGGCAGACGGGUGAGUAACACGUGGGAACCUUCCCUAUAGUACGGAAUAGCCCAGGGAAACUUGGAGUAAUACCGUAUACGCCCGAAAGGGGAAAGAAUUUCGCUAUAGGAUGGGCCCGCGUAGGAUUAGCUAGUUGGUGAGGUAAUGGCUCACCAAGGCGACGAUCCUUAGCUGGUUUGAGAGAACGACCAGCCACACUGGGACUGAGACACGGCCCAGACUCCUACGGGAGGCAGCAGUGGGGAAUAUUGGACAAUGGGCGCAAGCCUGAUCCAGCCAUGCCGCGUGAGUGAUGAAGGCCUUAGGGUUGUAAAGCUCUUUUGCCGGGGACGAUAAUGACGGUACCCGGAGAAUAAGUCCCGGCUAACUUCGUGCCAGCAGCCGCGGUA